AUAAUAUAUACGGCGUAAAACACGACUAAAACAACAGUUCCAACACUAGGGAGAAAACAAAUCUGGGCUGUAAAAAGCCAUAAGCCUUAUAAGCACUAAACUCUAACCAUAAAACAACUUAAACUCGUGAAAGCAAGGACACAAACUAAGAUUAGAUACCUUACUAUGCCUUAUAGCCGUAACAAAACAAUAAAACUACUUAUUGUUCGCCAAACAACUACGAGUGAAAACUUAAAACUUAAAAGACUUGACGGUACUUCACACCAACCUAGAGGAGCCUGUCUAAUAACCGAUAACCCACGAUUAACCCAACCUUUUCUAGCCCAACAGUCUAUAUACCGCCGUCGCCAGCUUACCUUAUGAAAGAAACAAAGUAAGCUAAACAGCACUAAACACUAACACGACAGGUCGAGGUGUAACUAAUGAAAAGGACAAAAGAUGGGCUACAUUUUCUAAAAUAGAAUAAACGAACAGACCAUGAAAACAGAAACUGAAGGCGGAUUUAGUAGUAAGUCAAGAACAAUAUACUUUACCGAAACUAGCAAUGAAGUGCGCACACACCGCCCGUCAUCCCUGUUAGACAAAACAAACAUCCAUAAA
rnacentral:rRNA from 1 species